UACAACGAUGCAGACAGCUCUCUUUGUCACUCCUACAACGUGCUUGUUCAAACAACUCAUUUUCUUUCAGGUUUUGUGCUUUAGGCAGAGUGACAUGAUGCAGGAUGGAGUUGCGAAGAGUUCCAGGACACGGUCAAAGAUGGCUGGAUCAUGCAAUAAAGGCCCACAUGAGACGCCAUGGUCAAAUGGUUGGAGAUCGUUGAGAGUUUGCAGCUAUUGAUGAAAGUUGUUGUAAUAAUAGCAAGUAUCACCACAGAAGGGCCGGUGCAACAUGGCGACGGAAAAAAGUGGGUUUUGAGAAUAUUAGGAGUAGGUGACCGCCAGAAACAUCCUGUCUUGUGGCUGGUGUGGUUAAACACGUGUGUCCGGGAACCACCGUCAUCAGUGACCAAUGGGGCGCUUACAGGAGUGCAUUGGCUGCGACAGGCACUUCACAGUGAACCACUGUCAGUAGUUUGCGGAUCCAAACACCUUGCGCGCCUCCCAGUAUGUCAACCCCAGCUUUCUCUGUGGACCAUGCAACUUGGACUUUCUGAGUUUCAUAUAGGACAAUGCAUCUUGCUCUGCAUCUGUAAACCAUGGACUCAUCUUUUGGACAUUUU